CCUACGGGAGGCAGCAGUGGGGAAUCUUGCACAAUGGGCGAAAGCCUGACGCAGCGACGCCGCGUGGGGGAUGACGGGUUUCGGGUUGUAAACCUCUUUCACCGAUGACGAAGCGCAAGUGACGGUAGUCGGAGAAGAAGCACCGGCCAACUACGUGCCAGCAGCCGCGGUAAU
rnacentral:rRNA from 1 species